UGAUCCAUAUAAGUGAACUGGUUACAAGUCUGUGUACAUUGAAAUAAUCAUUGUUCUAGAUAUUUCUCUGUAACACGUCGUUCUCUCUCCUAGGGUUUGUCUUGAUUUCCUUCGUUUGUAAAGAUCUGGUGUUUAGAUCUUGUAUCGUGAGUCAAGUUGUAUAUCAGAUCAUCAAGUUGAUGAUCUUGUUCAAGUGUUUUAAUAAGAGUUUUGGUUGCUGAUUUCAUGUCUUUUGACAUGGUAUCAGAGCUCUGAUACGUUCUUUGAGUUGUUCGCUUCCGUUAUUAGUCUCUGAUUCUUGAUUCGCUGGUUAGGGUUUCAUAGAGUUUUGGGGUUUUUUCAUCUUCUUGUUGUAAGAUCGGUGGUUUUAUGGGUUAUUCUGAACAGAUCUGAAGAGUUGCUGGUUCUGGAUCUGGUCAUCUUGAGUUUGAUUUGUGAAGAUUUCGGUUGAUUAUUGUUAAGAUUCUUGGAAUCUUGGUAACUUCAGAUCUGUUAGUUCUAGAUCUAUUGUUCAAGAUAAGACUGCUCAGACCUGUGAAGACUUCAACUGCUCUGAUUGACUGAAGAAGGUGUUAUUGGUCUUGGUGAACUGUUUUUGCCGACUUUGGUUUUGCAGUGUAGGGUGUCUUUUUUGGUUGUUGAUCUUUAACUGAUAUCUGUUUGUCUAUUGUGUGUGACUGAAUUAAUAAUGGCAGAUCUUAUGAACUUGUUUGGUGAAACUUUAAUAAGUAAACUAGAACCAGAUAAUCCUUUGUAUU
rnacentral:lncRNA from 1 species